rnacentral:rRNA from 1 species
GAGUUUGAUCAUGGCUCAGAUUGAACGCUGGCGGCAGGCCUAACACAUGCAAGUCGAACGGUAACAUUUCUAGCUUGCUAGAAGAUGACGAGUGGCGGACGGGUGAGUAAUGCUUGGGAACUUGCCUUUAGGAGGGGGAUAACAGUUGGAAACGACUGCUAAUACCGCAUAAUGUCUACGGACCAAAGGGGGCUUCGGCUCUCACCUAAAGAGAGGCCCAAGUGAGAUUAGCUAGUUGGUAAGGUAAAAGCUUACCAAGGCGACGAUCUCUAGCUGUUCUGAGAGGAAGAUCAGCCACACUGGGACUGAGACACGGCCCAGACUCCUACGGGAGGCAGCAGUGGGGAAUAUUGCACAAUGGGGGAAACCCUGAUGCAGCCAUGCCGCGUGUGUGAAGAAGGCCUUCGGGUUGUAAAGCACUUUCAGUUGUGAGGAAAGGUUGGUAGUUAAUACCUGCCAGACUCCGACCGUNAACAACAG